AUACAGGCCUUAUUAAAGGCCAAAAAUUAUGACAAAAUUGCAGUG
rfam:Caprimulgus carolinensis contig2994, whole genome shotgun sequence.